rnacentral:lncRNA from 1 species
UCUGAGUUAUUAUAAAUGCUAUUAGAGUGGAUUCAACCCAUAACCUAUGUGGACUCGAGGACACUGCAGCAUGGACCCAUUGGGGCUGACCACAAGCCGACCGUGGUGUUUGUGAUUAGAUUUGAAUGGAUUUGAACAUUUAGCCCAAUGAGGACGUCCGGGCUUAAAUGGAGGAAGUAUGUGAGGACCCGCGCGGGGGUGUAUUUAGUUCCACAUCGGUUAUUCGCUGAGUAGAUCCUGGGUACUUAUACAAAAUCAAGAAAUCCAAAUAAUACAUUCCGGCUAGCUAUUUUGGGUGAGAUCCUGGGUUGUUACAAGUAGCAAGUAGUGAUGCUAUCACCCUACUUGAGAUUGUACUUGUGGGUCUAGAUAAUGAGCCAAAAUCUGAAUGUUAGGAUGAGGUAACCUGCACCACAUGGAUAUAACUAUCAAAGAGUUGCCAGAUGUGAUUCAAAGCAGAAUAACCAUGCUGUCGAAAUUCAAUACUCACAGGAUCAUGGCUGCUAAUACUGGCCGUCCAAGCUUUCUCAAUCAAUUCAAGACAACAAAGAGACCAAAUGGAUGAUGUCGGCAACCAGAAAAUAAGAAGCAAGGAACUCGUGCUCAAUCUCAUCAAAGAAGGAGAUACUUUGGGGAACGAGAUAGUUAUUAUUCUUGUACCAACCAAUAAACAUGUCUAUCAUGUGCGCGCAUGUGUGUACCCUUGAUGAGAUAUCUAUGAAUGGGUUGGCAUCCGUAUGUAUGUACUUAUCAUGUUUGCAUAA